GAUGAACGCUGGCGGCGUGCCUAAUACAUGCAAGUCGAGCGAACAGACGAGGAGCUUGCUCCUCUGACGUUAGCGGCGGACGGGUGAGUAACACGUGGAUAACCUACCUAUAAGACUGGGAUAACUUCGGGAAACCGGAGCUAAUACCGGAUAAUAUAUUGAACCGCAUGGUUCAAUAGUGAAAGACGGUUUUGCUGUCACUUAUAGAUGGAUCCGCGCCGCAUUAGCUAGUUGGUAAGGUAACGGCUUACCAAGGCGACGAUGCGUAGCCGACCUGAGAGGGUGAUCGGCCACACUGGAACUGAGACACGGUCCAGACUCCUACGGGAGGCAGCAGUAGGGAAUCUUCCGCAAUGGGCGAAAGCCUGACGGAGCAACGCCGCGUGAGUGAUGAAGGUCUUCGGAUCGUAAAACUCUGUUAUGAGGGAAGAACAAAUGUGUAAGUAACUAUGCACGUCUUGACGGUACCUAAUCAGAAAGCCACGGCUAACUACGUG
rnacentral:rRNA from 1 species